CCUACGGGAGGCUGCAGUAGGGAAUCUUCCACAAUGGGCGAAAGCCUGAUGGAGCAACGCCGCGUGGGUGAAGAAGGUCUUCGGAUCUUAAAACCCUGUUGUUAGAGAAGAAAGUGCGUGAGAGUAACUGUUCACGUUUCUACGGUAUCUACCCAGAAAGCCACGGCUAACUACGUGCCAGCAGCCGCGGUAAUACGUAGGUGGCAAGCGGUAUCCGGAUUUAUUGGGGGUAAAGGGAACGCAGGCGGUCUUUUAAGUCUGAUGUGAAAGCCUUCGGCUUAACCGGAGGAGUGCAUUGGAAACUGGGAGACUUGAGUGCAGAAGAGGAGAGUGGAACUCCAUGUGUAGCGGUGAAAUGCGUAGAUAUAUGGAAGAACACCAGUGGCGAAAGCGGCUCUCUGGGCUGUAACUGACGCUGAGGUUCGAAAGCGUGGGUAGCAAACAGGAUUAGAUACCCUUGUAGUC
rnacentral:rRNA from 1 species